ACCAAUGAUGAUAAAACCCAUUUGUAAUGAGGUUUAGUGGAGCUGAGACCCUGUUUAACAGGGAGAACCCCUCAGGGAAGCUACAUUCACAUGAUAUGACUGGGUUUAACUGAGGC